rnacentral:rRNA from 1 species
UACGUAGGGGGCAAGCGUUGUCCGGAAUCAUUGGGCGUAAAGAGCGUGUAGGCGGCCUGGAAAGUCUGGUGUGAAAGUCAAAGGCUCAACCUUUGAAAGCCGAUGGAUACUGCCGGGCUGGAGUCCAGAAGAGGCGAGUGGAAUUCCUGGUGUAGCGGUGGAAUGCGCAGAUAUCGGGAAGAACACCCGUGGCGAAGGCGGCUCUCUGGGACGGUACUGACGCUGAGACGCGAAAGCGUGGGGAGCGAACAGG